rnacentral:rRNA from 1 species
AGAGUUUGAUCCUGGCUCAGGAUGAACGCUAGCGACAGGCUUAACACAUGCAAGUCGAGGGGCAGCACAGGGUAGCAAUACUUGGGUGGCGACCGGCGCACGGGUGAGUAACGCGUAUGCAACUUACCUAUCAGAGGGGGAUAGCCCGGCGAAAGUCGGAUUAAUACCCCAUGAAACAGGGGUCCCGCAUGGGAAUAUUUGUUAAAGAUUCAUCGCUGAUAGAUAGGCAUGCGUUCCAUUAGGCAGUUGGCGGGGUAACGGCCACCAAACCGACGAUGGAUAGGGGUUCUGGAGAGGAAGGUCCCCCACAUUGGUACUGAGACACGGACCAAACUCCUACGGGAGGCA